rnacentral:ncRNA from 1 species
UCAUGCAUGAGCCGGUGCCCGGCCUCACUUCUUGUCAUCCCUCCAUAACUCAAUUCUGUUGACGAUGGAGAUGACGAUGAGAGGAGGGGACGUGGCUGAGAUUAUACGGCAAAACUUGAUCUGGAUAAUACCAGCGAAAGGAUCAUGUCCUCCUCCCUA